rnacentral:rRNA from 1 species
CCUACGGGCGGCAGCAGUAGGGAAUUUUUGGCAAUGGGGGGAACCCUGACCGAGCAACGCCGCGUGAACGAAGAAGUUAUUCGUAAUGUAAAGUUCUUUUAACAGGGAAGAAAGAGAAAUUUGACGGUACCUGAAGAAUAAGCUCCGGCUAACUACGUGCCAGCAGCCGCGGUAAUACGUAGGGAUCGAGCGUUAUCCGGAAUCAUUGGGCGAAAAGGGUGCGUAGAUGGCAUAGAAAGUCUUGUGUAAAAAUGCUGGGCUCAACCCAGUAGGGCAAAAGAUACUGGAAAGCUAGAGUAUGACAGAGGCAAGUGGAACUACAUGUGUAGCGGUAAAAUGCGUAAAUAUAUGUAAGAACACCAGUGGCGAAGGCAGCUUGCUGGGUCGAUACUGACAUUGAGGCACGAAAGCGUGGGGAGCAAACAGGAUUAGAUACCCGAGUAGUC